rnacentral:rRNA from 1 species
ACUGCUCAGUAACACGUGGAUAACCUGCCCUGSGGUGGGAAAUAACCCCGGGAAACUGGGGAUAAUGUCCCAUARGCYACRGAUGCUGGAAUGCUCUGUACCUCAAAGAUUUAUCGCCGCAGGAUGGGUCUGCGGCCGAUUAKGUAGUUGUUGGGGUAACGGCCCAACAAGCCUUUGAUCGGUACGGGUUGUGCGAGCAAGAGCCCGKAGAUUGAUUNUSAGACAUGAAUCCAGUCCGUACGGGGCGCAGCAGGCUMGAAAACUUUWCAAUGCGGGAAWCCUUGAUAAGSGAACUCCGAGUGUCUGUAANUGCGGACUGUCMGUAUGUUUAAAAAGCAUGCKAAGAAAGGGCCGGGCAAGACCGGUGCCAGCCGCCGCGGUAAUACCGGCGGCUCGAGUGGUGGUCACUAUUACUGGGUUUAAAGCGUUCGUAGCUGGGUUGUUAAGUUUUUUGGGAAAUCUACCGGCUUAACCGAUAGGCGUUCAAGGGAUACUGGCAAUCUAGGGACCGGGAGAGGUGAGGGGUACUUCAGGGGUAGGAGUGAAAUCCUGUAAUCCUUGGGGGACCACCUGUGGCGAAGGCGCCUCACCAGAACGGCUYCGACAGUGAGGGACGAAAGCUGGGGGAGCAAACCGGAUUAGAUACCCGGGUAGUCCCAGCCGUAAACGAUGCGCGUUAGGUGUAUCGAUGACCACGAGUCAUUGAGGUGCCGAAGGGAAACCGUGAAACGCGCCGCCUGGGAAGUACGGUCGCAAGGCUGAAACUUAAAGGAAUUGGCGGGGGAGCAC